rnacentral:lncRNA from 1 species
UUUUACAUUGGCCAGUUAUGAUGGUGCUUGUGCUUUAAAACUGAGUUUUGGUAUUGGACCCAAGGUUAAAAUCUUCACGGUGCCAAAUCAUUUGGCUCAAACAAACGUGGCCUCGGCCACCAACCUGUUUUGAUGGGGUUUGGUUUGUGUCUGGAUGUCAUUUGCUUUUGCUAGACUUGAUAGGUCCUAGUUGUUUGUGAACUUGAAGUAUUGGGCUUUAUCGUCUGCUUAUUGUAAUCUUGGAGUGCUCGUCACCAUAUUCGAGUACCUUGUCUCCAUCCCAAGCUUGAACCCUGAUGUCGAAUUGUACGAGUUUCU